CCAUCAGCUUCAGUGGCUCCUCAUCCAAGCUGAGUUUGUCUGGCUCCCUCCUGUGUGAGGCUUGUGUCUGCAUGCAGUCCCAGCCGUUGAGUUCAUUCGUGCAGUCGUGCUGACAUCUCUGAAGACCUCUGAAGUGCAGACCUCUCGGUUACCCCGCUCUGCUCUUUACUACCUUUCCAUCUCCUCCUAUGAGCCUCGAGGGGGGAGGGGCAGAGUGCACUAAGCACCCCAUGGUUCCUUAUUCUCUGCACGUUGGCCAGUUUCACCUCGUCUUUGUGUUUUGAGACACGGUCUCACUAUGUAACACUAGCAGUCCUGAAAUUCACUAUGUAGACCAGGCUGGCCUUCUGCCUCAUUUAAAAAAAAAUUACUUGUAUCUUAUGUUCACUGGCAUUUUUCCUGGUGUCGGAAGCUCUGGAACUGGAGUUAGAGACAGUUGUGACCUGCCAUGUGGGUACCAGAAUCCAACCUGGGUCCUCUGGAAGAGCAGCCAGUGCUCUUAGCUGCUAAGCCCUUUCUCUUGCCUCCUACCUCAAGUUUGAGACCAGUCUCUUUCACUGGACCUGGGGUCAACCAGUUCGGAUAGACUAUCAUUUGGUCAGCAAGUCUACACCUCCCAGUGCUGGGGUCACGGGCACGUGCCACUGCACCCCGCUUUUUAUGUGGGUGCUGGGAAUCCAGAGUCAGAUCUUGGUGCUUCUGUGGCAAGCAUGUUACAGACUGAACCCAUGGGUGACCUUGAAGAUACAAGGCCUUCAACACUGUAGCGUGUUCCCACCUGAGUGGAUGAUCCCUGAUGUCGAAGCCUUGCUCUCAUCCAGGAGGAGACUUUGCUUAGCCACACGGAAAGGCAAGCUUCAGUGUUCCUGCCUGCCCUUAGGCCUAUUGAGUUAGAAUCUCUCCUCCCCUGCCUUUGAUGAAGUUGCUGCCACAUGAGGUGUGCCCAUCUGCAGGAAGUGGAGGAAGGACCCCAGCCAGUUAACCAGCAAGCACAUGAUUGACAGCCUCGGACCAAAAGCCUUGAGGAGCGAACCUGGCCAGAGUUCCAUGAGAGAAUCUGGAAAGGGGUUGUUCCCCAAUCAAGCCUUCCAAUUUCAGCCUUGCCAAAGAACCCCCAAGGCAGAGAAUGCAGGGUUCACAGAGCCUGAGACAAGGGACCAAUAAAGUUAAGGUGCCCAUAACACCAGUAGGUGAUUGUUAAUACGUGCUGGCUUCAUUUGACUUCGGAUGGGAGGUAGGAGGAGGGUAGGAAGAGAUCCAUUCUCAAAGAGACGAAUACAGAAUCCAGCAGCACCCCGCAAGGACAGUCUGUGUGGACAGGCACCCCCUCGCACUGCUACAGUAAACUAUAGCGUCUUUGUGCCACAGAGUCCAGUAGGCCAUGGCCAUUGGAUGGAG
ensembl:lncRNA